rnacentral:rRNA from 1 species
GCCAGCAGCAAUAUCACUCUGCAAUUCAACUGGCAACCCACUGAAGCUCAGCAGUUGUGAGCCUGGUCAGUACCUGGAUGAGAGACCUCCUGGGAAAAACUAAGGUUGUUGCUGGAA